rnacentral:rRNA from 1 species
GACGAACGCUGGCGGCGUGCUUAACACAUGCAAGUCGAACGGAAAGGCCCUGCUUUUGUGGGGUGCUCGAGUGGCGAACGGGUGAGUAACACGUGAGUAACCUGCCCUUGACUUUGGGAUAACUUCAGGAAACUGGGGCUAAUACCGGAUAGGAGCUCCUGCUGCAUGGUGGGGGUUGGAAAGUUUCGGCGGUUGGGGAUGGACGCGCGGCUUAUCAGCUUGUUGGUGGGGUAGUGGCUUACCCAGGCUUUGACGGGUAGCCGGCCUGAGAGGGUGACCGGCGACAUUGGUACUGCGAUACGGCCCAGUCUCCUACGGGAGGCAGCGGUGGAGAAUAUUGCACAAUGGGCGGAAGCCUGAUGCAGCAACGCCGCGUGCGGGAUGACGGCCUUCGGGUUGCAAACCGCUUUCGCCUGUGACGAAGCGUGAGUGACGGUAAUGGGUAAAGAAGCACCGGCUAACUACGUG